rnacentral:piRNA from 2 species
UGAAAGAGGAAAAGCGAUCUGGGCAAAUGU